GGCGCCGUGGCCGAGUGGUUAGGCAGCGGCCUGCAAAGCCGUGUACACCGGUUCGAUUCCGGUCGGCGCCU
rnacentral:tRNA from 3 species